UGGCUCAAUCGGUAGAGCGUCCGACUAUUAGUCGGGCUGUCACUGGUUCGAGUCCGGU
rnacentral:tRNA from 1 species